AAUCCCGUCUACAUAUGGGAAAGAGGAGGAAAUGGAGAUUAGUGAUAAACACGAAGACGAGAUCACAAAAACAGCUCGAUAAGCGAGAGUGUCUAGGUCUAGCUUGAAACGUGAACCAUCAUCACGAAGCGUAGAGAGCAAGGAAAAUACAGGGAUCCGACUCCAUCCAAUGACUUCUCGAACGAUACGGGGUGAAAAGUGUUGAUUGAUCUCUCUGCAAUGCGUCUUUUCCACGCUACGUCUUCAUGGUUCUCGUAGAUUGUAGAGGAUGCUUGCUUUGAUCGAAAUUGCAUUAGGUCUUCUCUUUUACCUUUUACUUAAAUUUUUAUUUUUCGUUUUUUUUUCUUUCC